GCCACCAGUGCCCUCCAGCCCUCCCGGUUGGACUGAUGAGAAGGCCGGUCCUUUAGUGGCAGCAGAUAUCUCAGAAACAUCCACCGAACUUCAGGCUACACAAAUUUUACUGAGCAGUGACUAUAUGCCUGUGUGCUUCCAUGCUGUCACUUCCAAAGAUUUUCAUUUGGAUCCAGAGAAGGAUAUGAUUUUCUUAAGGUCUGAAAAAUUGUUUGGAGGAUGGGAUAAACAUGGCAUGCAAAUGUCCUUCUCUAGGCCUCUAGGAGACAAGAGCUAUCUCGUCGAAGGACGAAUCAUAAUUCCCAAGAAUAUCAUUCAUGAAAACAUACCCUACAAAUAUGUAAUUUACAAGCGCA